CCCCCGGCUGGUGCCGAUGCCGUCAUCUGAACGCAACACAGCGCUUUGGCAUUGCCACUGUGAAUCGCACAGUGCCCUUGCUUCAAGCAAAAUGGCAGCCUUGUUCCCACCUAGCCUAGCAACACAUGCAUUUUGUACUCUCGAACCGGAAAACAGGAAAAGGGUCCAUUCUCUACAGUGCUUACUGGUAGCACCCACAUUUGCAAAUUCGUCCGCUGACAAACGAGGCUGGUGUGCUGCAGUAAUCAAAUGACAGAUGAAGAAAUAAACUUCAACAUAUCGACUGACCUCACUGAAGUGAGCGCCGCUAUCCUUCAGCAUCCCGCUCCACUCCCGGCUGUUCGAUGAAACCAUGGCCUGCCUUGCGGCUCCUG